AUAUAUGAUCUUUAAGGGAUGACCUAUGAGAUGUACAGUUGCAUUUUGGAAACAUAACUCGUAGACCCAUAAAGUGGGAUGAUGUUCUCAUUACUCGUAUUCAUUUGAAAAUCUGUAUUUCCGGCUGACACACCCCGUCCCGAAGGAGGGCAUGCUGGCCGUCACGUGAGAGUGACGUAACAAUUUACACAGUUCGGAAGCUUUAAAAAUACAAUUACUAAGAUGAAACACCCGAGGGUGAGUCCUACUUUUGUGAAUUCUGUCAGAACACCGUUGGAUUCCUCGUGGCCACCAAAGCUCUGCUAUCAAGAACCUGGAGGGGCGUAAAACAAAAUUGAGUGGGUCAGUAAAACAAAGUUUUUCGAAAACCUUUCAUUUAAAACAUUUAUAACCCCUCGCUGUAAAACCUGUAUACUUUCCUAGAAAAUAGCAUAAUAGCAUAAUACUUUUCAUAAAUCUCAAAUCAUCAAUUUUUCUCAAAAACCAUAAAGUAUGCCAUGUUAUAAUUUCAAAAACAGAAUGAAUGAUGCAUCAAUGUAACAGGUGAAAUGGUGAAUUAACCGGAGACCCUGCAGUUGGUCCUGUACGGUUAAUUCUAUAGCUCAACAUCCAAUCUAACCGGAGUCACCUCAGUGACCUGUACGGCACUACACUGCAUAUAAGUCGGAACUACCUGAAGUAGUAUGUACGACAUGAAUGGUGUAAUAAUACGCUCUAGUGCUUCUCUUAUCAAUCAUCUGUGUACAUAAUCUAAGGUCACCUAUCAGUCGGAACCCUCUCAUGGUCUGUACGACAUGUCAGAACCCUCUCAUGGUCUGUACGACAUGCACCUACUUGGAUCCAAGGUGAGCGUGCGGUGCGAGGUGAAUAAUAUAAGCACUAACACUAUGAUUGCAGGUUAUGAGCUAUCAACAUAAUAUACAUCAUCAAUGAUUCACAUGAAUAAUAUAAAACUCACCUGAUACUUACAUGUGCAUCCACAGCACCAAUUCACACAUAUAUAUAUAUAUGCAUCAAUUAUCAAUUCAUAUAACUCAUAUCAUUCAUAUCAUUCAUAUUAUGCAUGCAUGGCAUUUUAGAAACAUACUUUCAUUAAAACUCAAUUUCUGGGAAAAUUCAUAGUAUAUAGGUAUAAAUAGAAAGUACUGCCCACUCACCUGGAGUUCGCCCAACAACUCCCUAGAACAACACAUGAAGGCAUCAUGACGAUCGGCGCCUAGAACAAUAAUCAAAUCCAACCUCAGAAAUCACAUCGAUAGAAUAUAACUUAUAUAAAACACAUCACUACGCAGUUCGAUCCGGAAGAUCUACAACUCAGAUUUCAAAUCCAUAACUUCCAGAGGUCCAAAAUAUACCUCUAGGACAACAUCCUAAAAUUUCAUUACCAUUCAACGGUCAGAUCUCCGUCAAUUUCCAAAACCAAGUGACGGUUAACAUUCUAUUUUAUGAACUUACAACUCCAAUUCCGAAAGAUCCGUAAAUCGGAUUCCCAAUCCGUAAGUUCCUAUAAUCCUCAAAUAUUACGUAUUACAACGUAUCAAAGUUUGGUGACGAUCCAACGGUCGGAUCGUCAAUUCACAUUUUCACCUAACCACGAAUCAUAACGAACUUAGGUUCAAUUAUUCAAUUUACGUCCAUCAAUUAUCAAAACUGAACCUAGAACCUUAAAAACAUGCUAAGAAUGACAUUGGCGGGCCAUUGGCCACUCGCCGCCGCACGGGCCGCCGCGGGUGGCGGUUGGCCGCCCCGGUUCGCCGGAAAAUCCAACUAUUUCCAAAAAUUCUCAAAAAAUACAGAAUUGAAGAUCUCAAUGAGUAGAGUAAACUUUAUACAUGUGGCCAAGGCCAAUUUGGCCUGGAAGAGCUCCAAUUUCACCAAAGCCGUGAAGAACCCUAAAAUUGGGUGAUCUUCAAUUCAACUUCAAUUCAACUCGACCGCUCCAACCAACAAUUGGGAAUUGUUCUAGGCCUCAAGGGAAGUGUAUGAGUAGUGUCAAUUGGAAGAAAUUGCUUCAGAAUUGGCGGAUUCCACCGUGGGUGCCCUCGGGCUCGACAUGAACUUUUGUCGUGAAAUCACGACCAAUGACCGUCAAACUCAGGUGGAAAUGGAAGCUGGGAUGAUGCCAU
rnacentral:lncRNA from 1 species